rnacentral:rRNA from 1 species
CGGACCAAGGAGUUUAGCGUGUGCGCGAGUCACUGGGUGGAAAACCUAAAGGCGCAAUGAAAGUGAAGGGGGCCUCUGGCCNCCGAGGGAAGAUGGGCGUCCGUCCUUCGCAGGCGGCGCCCCGCACUCCCGGGGCGUCUCUUUCUCGUUACGAGUGGAGGCGCACCUGUAGCGCACACGCUGAUACCCGAAAGAUGGUGAACUAUGCCUGGCCAGGACGAAGCCAGGGGAAACCCUGGUGGAGGUCCGCAGCGAUUCUGACGUGCAAAUCGAUCGUCGGAGCUGGGUAUAGGGGCGAAAGACCAAUCGAACCAUCUAGUAGCUGGUUCCUUCCGAA